UUCUUCGGAGAGUUUGAUCCUGGCUCAGGACGAACGCUGGCGGCGUGCCUAAUACAUGCAAGUCGAGCGAAUCGAUGGGAGCUUGCUCCCUGAGAUUAGCGGCGGACGGGUGAGUAACACGUGGGCAACCUGCCUAUAAGACUGGGAUAACUUCGGGAAACCGGAGCUAAUACCGGAUACGUUCUUUUCUCGCAUGAGAGAAGAUGGAAAGACGGUU
rnacentral:rRNA from 1 species